rnacentral:rRNA from 1 species
AUUGAACGCUGGCGGCAGGCCUAACACAUGCAAGUCGAGCGAGCGGCGGACGGGUGAGUAAUGUAUGGGUAACUGCCCGAUAGAGGGGGAUAACUACUGGAAACUGUAGCUAAUACCGCAUUCUAUCAGAUGUGCCCAGAUGGGAUUAGCUAGUAGGUGGGGUAAAGGCUCACCUAGGCGACGAUCCCUAGCUGGUCUGAGAGGAUGAUCAGACACACAGGAACUGUGGCGCGGUCCAGACUCCUGCGGGAGGCAGCAGUGGGGAAUGUGGCACAAUGGGCGCAAGCCUGAUGCAGCCAUGCCGAGUGUGUGAAGAAGGCCUUCGGGUUGUAAAGCACUUUCAGAGGGGAGGCGUUACCAGCAGAAGAAGCACCGGCUAACUCCGUGCCAGCAGCCGCGGUAAUAC